rnacentral:rRNA from 1 species
GCACGGGGGCAACCCUGGUGGCGAGUGGCGAACGGGUGAGUAAUGCAUCGGAACGUGCCCAGUAGUGGGGGAUAACUAGUCGAAAGAUUAGCUAAUACCGCAUACGACCUAUGGGUGAAAGCGGGGGACCUUUACCGGCCUCGCGCUAUCGGAGCGGCCGAUGUCUGAUUAGCUAGUUGGCGGGGUAAAAGCCCACCAAGGCGACGAUCAGUAGCUGGUCUGAGAGGACGACCAGCCACACUGGGACUGAGACACGGCCCAGACUCCUACGGGAGGCAGCAGUGGGGAAUUUUGGACAAUGGGCGCAAGCCUGAUCCAGCCAUACCGCGUGCGGGAAGAAGGCCUUCGGG